rnacentral:rRNA from 1 species
AGUGCAUGUGGUGGAUGCCUUGGCAGUCAGAGGCGAUGAAAGACGUGAUAGCCUGCGAAAAGCUCCGGGGAGGCGGCAAAUAUCCUUUGAUCCGGAGAUGUCUGAAUGGGGGAACCCACCUACUUUAAGGUAGGUAUUGCAACAUGAAUACAUAGUGUUGCAAGGCGAACGAGGGGAAGUGAAACAUCUCAGUACCCUUAGGAAAAGAAAUCAAUUGAGAUUCCCUCAGUAGCGGCGAGCGAACGGGGAUCAGCCCAUUAAGUAUGUGUGUUUUUAGUGGAACGCUCUGGGAAGUGCGAACGUAGAGGGUGAUAUUCCCGUACACGAAAGGGCACACAUAAUGAUGACGAGUAGGGCGAGGCACGUGAAACCUUGUCUGAAUAUGGGGGGACCAUCCUCCAAGGCUAAAUACUCCUGACUGACCGAUAGUGAACCAGUACCGUGAGGGAAAGGCGAAAAGAACCCCUGUGAGGGGAGUGAAAUAGAUCCUGAAACCGCAUGCAUACAAGCAGUGGGAGCACCUUCGUGGUGUGACUGCGUACCUUUUGUAUAAUGGGUCAGCGACUUAUAUUCAGUAGCGAGGUUAACCGUAUAGGGGAGCCGUAGAGAAAUCGAGUCUUAAUAGGGCGUUUAGUUGCUGGGUAUAGACCCGAAACCAGGCGAUCUAUCCAUGAGCAGGUUGAAGGUUGGGUAACACUAACUGGAGGACCGAACCCACUGUCGUUGAAAAGCCAGGGGAUGACUUGUGGAUAGGGGUGAAAGGCUAAUCAAGCCUGGUGAUAGCUGGUUCUCCCCGAAAGCUAUUUAGGUAGCGCCUCGGACGAAUACCAUAGGGGGUAGAGCACUGUUUCGGCUAGGGGGUCAUCCCGACUUACCAAACCGAUGCAAACUCCGAAUACCUAUGAGUACUAUCCGGGAGACAGACUGCGGGUGCUAACGUCCGUAGUCAAGAGGAAAACAAUCCAGACCGCCAGCUAAGGCCCCAAAAUCAUAGUUAAGUGGGAAACGAUGUGGGAAGGCAUAGACAGCUAGGAGGUUGGCUUAGAAGCAGCCACCCUUUAAAGAAAGCGUAAUAGCUCACUAGUCGAGUCGGCCUGCGCGGAAGAUGUAACGGGGCUAAAACUAUGUGCCGAAGCUGCGGAUGUAUACUUUGUAUACGUGGUAGGGGAGCGUUCUGUAAGCCGAUGAAGGUGUGUUGAGAAGCAUGCUGGAGGUAUCAGAAGUGCGAAUGCUGACGUGAGUAACGACAAAACGGGUGAAAAACCCGUUCGCCGAAAGACCAAGGGUUCCAGUCCAACGUUAAUCGGGGCUGGGUGAGUCGACCCCUAAGGCGAGGCCGAAAGGCGUAGUCGAUGGGAAAAUGGUUAAUAUUCCAUUACUUCUGUGUAAUGCGAUGAGAGGACGGAGAAGGCUAAAUCAGCCUGGCGUUGGUUGUCCAGGUGAAAGGAUGUAGGCAUGUAUCUUAGGCAAAUCCGGGGUACUCUAUGCUGAGAUCUGAUAGCAAGCUGUACUUGUACAGCGAAGUGGUUGAUGCCAUGCUUCCAGGAAAAGUCUCUAAGCUUCAGUUACACAGGAAUCGUACCCGAAACCGACACAGGUGGUCAGGUCGAGUAGACCAAGGCGCUUGAGAGAACUCUGCUGAAGGAACUAGGCAAAAUGGUACCGUAACUUCGGGAGAAGGUACGCUGUUGUUGGUGAUGGAACUCGCUUCCUGAGCUGACGACAGCCGCAGAAACCAGGCCGCUGCAACUGUUUAUUAAAAACAUAGCACUCUGCAAACACGAAAGUGGACGUAUAGGGUGUGAUGCCUGCCCGGUGCUGGAAGGUUAAUUGAUGGGGUUAGCGUAAGCGAAGCUCUUGAUCGAAGCCCCAGUAAACGGCGGCCGUAACUAUAACGGUCCUAAGGUAGCGAAAUUCCUUGUCGGGUAAGUUCCGACCUGCACGAAUGGCAUAAUGAUGGCGGCGCUGUCUCCAGCAGAGGCUCAGUGAAAUCGAAAUCGCUGUGAAGAUGCAGUGUACCCGCGGCUAGACGGAAAGACCCCGUGAACCUUUACUGCAGCUUGACACUGAACUUUGACCUUACUUGUGUAGGAUAGGUGGGAGGCUUUGAAGCUGGAACGCUAGUUCCAGUGGAGCCGUCCUUGAAAUACCACCCUGGUAAUGUUGAGGUUCUAACUCUGUCCCGUGAUCCGGGACGAGGACCGUGUCUGGUGGGUAGUUUGACUGGGGCGGUCUCCUCCUAAAGAGUAACGGAGGAGUACGAAGGUGCGCUCAGCGUGGUCGGAAAUCACGCGUAGAGUAUAAAGGCAAAAGCGCGCUUAACUGCGAGACCCACAAGUCGAGCAGGUACGAAAGUAGGUCUUAGUGAUCCGGUGGUUCUGUAUGGAAGGGCCAUCGCUCAACGGAUAAAAGGUACUCUGGGGAUAACAGGCUGAUACCGCCCAAGAGUUCAUAUCGACGGCGGUGUUUGGCACCUCGAUGUCGGCUCAUCUCAUCCUGGGGCUGAAGCAGGUCCCAAGGGUAUGGCUGUUCGCCAUUUAAAGAGGUACGCGAGCUGGGUUUAGAACGUCGUGAGACAGUUCGGUCCCUAUCUACCGUGGGCGCUGGAAAUUUGAGAGGAUCUGCUCCUAGUACGAGAGGACCAGAGUGGACGAACCUCUGGUGUACCGGUUGUGACGCCAGUCGCAUCGCCGGGUAGCUAUGUUCGGAAGGGAUAACCGCUGAAAGCAUCUAAGCGGGAAGCCUACCUCAAGAUAAGAUUUCCCUAGGACUUUAUGUCCUCUAAAGAGCCGUUCGAGACUAGGACGUUGAUAGGUUGGAUGUGGAAGCAUAGUGAUAUGUGAAGCUGACCAAUACUAAUUGCUCGUGAGGCUUGACU